AUGAAGUUCAAACUCAAAAAAAUAAAACGAAAGUUUAAAGCAUAUACUUCAAAACUGCAAAAUACAUUUCAAACCUCUAAGGAUAUACAUGAAAAUUAAACGCAAGUCGAAACUUUUAUUUAUAAUACGAAACUCCCAAAUGAUAAGUCAAAGCCGCGGCUCAUAAAAAUAAAUCGAAAAGUCAAAAAUAUAAAUCGAAAGGAAACGGAAGUAAGCAACUUAACUAGAGGAAGUCAGGAAACGGAAGUUAACCACAAACAUUGCUAAGCUCGUCUUUUAACAAUAACAUUCGCUAUGAUUCAACCGAAUAUUUUUCUCAAUGCUUAAAAUCCUCUAGAGCAACAACUUUUGUCAGAUAUGCGCACCCUUCAAGUGAUUGUUCGUCGUCAAAGGGAAACAUGCGAAAGAUGCGAAUUUUGGUGUGGGAAGACAAAGACUGGACGUCUGACAACAGGCCAUCUAAACUUUAAUUCUCCAAGUUGGACUUUCCUGAGCAGAAAUUACAAGAAAUUUUGAGUAUCUGAGAGUGCAAUACGACGACGUCGACGUUAAUUUUACUUUGUCUCCGCUAUAUACGAACAGGGAAUCACUCAAUCACAUUCUACGAUAAGGGACAAUGAUUUUGAUCUACUUGUUCGUGGUAUCUCACAAGUAUCACCCAGGAUCAUCAGGCUAUAGAUUAGUACAAGAAUAUUUAUCUCGUAAACAUCCAGACGGCGAGCAAGAUAUUCGGUUGAAUCAUAAUAUAAUAUAAUAUAAUAAUGUAAUUGUUACUGUAAAAGACGAGGUCAGCAAUGUUUAUAAAGAGAGAAAUAAUUCGUCAGUUUCGAAAUCUUUAACUUUUUAAUAUCGACAUACGUAAAUAUCUCAGCGCGUGUUCACCCCCCUUUAAAACAAAGAAUACCAUUCGCUGGCUUCUUGGUUAACUUCCGUUUCCUGACUUCCUCUGUAUUAAGUUGCUUACUUCCGUUUCCU